rnacentral:misc_RNA from 1 species
AACGCACAUUGCGCCCUUUGGUAUUCCGAGGGGCAUGCCUGUUCGAGCGUCAUUUCAACCCUCAAGCUCUGCUUGGUAUUGGGCCCGGCCGCGAUGGCCGGCCUUAAAAUCAGUGGCGGUGCCGUCUGGCUCCAAGCGUAGUACAUCUCUCGCUCUGGAGGCCUGGUGGUGUCUUGCCAGAUAACCCCAAUUAUCUUCUAUGGUUGACCUCGGAUCAGGUAGGGAUACCCGCUGAACUUAA